rnacentral:rRNA from 1 species
CCUACGGGUGGCAGCAGUGAGGAAUAUUGGACAAUGGACGCAAGUCUGAACCAGCCAAGUGGCGUGCAGGAUGACGGCCCUCCGGGUGUUAAACUGCUUUAAGUUGGGAAUAAAAGGUGGCUCGUGAGCCCCGUAUUGUAUGUACCAUCAGAAGAAGGACCGGCUAAUUCCGUGCCAGCAGCAGCGGUAAUACGGAAGGUCCUGGCGUUAUCCGGAUUUAUUGGGUUUAAAGGGACCGUAGGCGGGCUUUUAAGUCAGCUGUGAAAGCCCGCGGCUCAACCGUGGAAUUGCAGUUGAAACUGGAGGCCUUGAGUGCACACAGGGAGGCAGGAAUUCAUGGUGUAGCGGUGAAAUGCUUAGAUAUCAUGAAGAACUCCGAUCGCGAAGGCAAGUGUCUGGGGGGCAACUGACGCUGAGGCUCGAAAGUGCGGGUAUCAAACAGGAUUAGAUACCCCUGUAGUC